rnacentral:rRNA from 1 species
GAUGAACGCUGGCGGCGUGCCUAAUACAUGCAAGUCGAGCGAAUGGAUUAAGAGCUUGCUCUUAUGAAGUUAGCGGCGGACGGGUGAGUAACACGUGGGUAACCUGCCCAUAAGACUGGGAUAACUCCGGGAAACCGGGGCUAAUACCGGAUAACAUUUUGCACCGCAUGGUGCGAAAUUCAAAGGCGGCUUCGGCUGUCACUUAUGGAUGGACCCGCGUCGCAUUAGCUAGUUGGUGAGGUAACGGCUCACCAAGGCAACGAUGCGUAGCCGACCUGAGAGGGUGAUCGGCCACACUGGGACUGAGACACGGCCCAGACUCCUACGGGAGGCAGCAGUAGGGAAUCUUCCGCAAUGGACGAAAGUCUGACGGAGCAACGCCGCGUGAGUGAUGAAGGCUUUCGGGUCGUAAAACUCUGUUGUUAGGGAAGAACAAGUGCUA